ACCCGCUGAAUUUAAGCAUAUAACUAAGCGGAGGAAAAGAAACUAACAAGGAUUCCCCUAGUAAGGGCGACUGAAGCGGGAUCAGCCCAGAUUGUAAACUGACCUUAAUUAAGGUUGGGUUGUAGUCUAAAGAGGCGACGCCAGGCAAGGUCCGGGGAGAAGUCCCUUGGAACAGGGCAUCGGAGAGGGUGACAAUCCCGUCUGUGCCUCGGACCGCGUCGUACGGUGCGUCUUCGACGAGUCGGUUUGCUUGGGAUUGCAGACCAAACGGGUGGUAAAUUCCAUCUAAGGCUAAAUACGGGUGGGAGACCGAUAGCGAACAAGUACCGUGAGGGAAAGAUGCAAAGAACUUUGAAAAGAGAGUUAAAAAGGGCCUGAAACUGGUAAGAGGGAACCGAACGGCAGAAGUGGUGAUGGGCGCGUAUUUUCCGCCGGGCUCUUGGCCGGCGUACUUGUGCGCGUCCGUAGGUCAGCGUGGGUUGGGGCGUGGGAGUCGUUCAUGGGAAGGUCUUCGGGCCAAUCUCGUGUUCAGGCCGCGCCUGAGACCUUCGGUGACGAAAUUCUUCCGUUCACCCCGUCUUGAAACACGGACCAAGGAGUCUAAAAUACGAGCGAGUGCGCCGGUGGCAACCCGGGGCGCGUAAUGAAAGUGAGACCGACGGUGGGAGGGCUUUACGUCCGCACCAUCAACCGACCACGAUCCUUCGGGUGAAAGGUUUGAGUGUAGCUUGUAUUUUGGGACCCAAAAGAUGGUGAACUAUGCCUGAAUAGGGCGAAGCCAGGGGAAACUCUGGUGGAGGCUCGUAGCGAUUCUGACGUGCAAAUCGAUCGUCAAAUUUGGGUAUAGGGGCGAAAGACUAAUCGAACCAUCUAGUAGCUGGUUCCCUCCGAAAUUUCCCUCAGGAUAGCAGCAAUCGAAGAGUUUUAUCAGGUAAAGCGAAUGAUUAGAGGCCUCAGGGGUGGAACGUCCUUGACCUAUUCUCAAACUUUAAAUGGGUAAGAGCCAGGGGUUGCUUAAGUGAACCCCUCGGUCGAAUCGCGGUUGCUAGUGGGCCACCCGGGGUAAGCUCGGUUGGCGAUGCGGGAUGAUCCGAACGUCGAGUUAAAGUGCCUCACUGCCCGCUCACCUAGAUCCCACAAAAGGUGUUGGUUCAUUUAGACAGCAGGACGGUGGCCAUGGAAGUCGGAACCCGCUAAGGAGUGUGUAACAACUCACCUGCCGAAUGGAUUAGCCCUGAAAAUGGAUGGCGCUGAAGCGAGCGACUUAUACUCGACCGUCACGGCAAGUGCGACGCCGUGAUGAGUAGGAGGGCGUGGGGCUCGUGGCGCAUCCCGCGGCGUGAGCCGGGGUGAAACGGGCUCUAGUGCAGAUCUUGGUGGUAGUAGC
rnacentral:rRNA from 1 species